rnacentral:rRNA from 1 species
UAGGGAAUCUUCGGCAAUGGACGAAAGUCUGACCGAGCAACGCCGCGUGAGUGAAGAAGGUUUUCGGAUCGUAAAACUCUGUUGUUAGAGAAGAACAAGGACGUUAGUAACUGAACGUCCCCUGACGGUAUCUAACCAGAAAGCCACGGCUAACUACGUGCCAGCAGCCGCGGUAAUACGUAGGUGGCAAGCGUUGUCCGGAUUUAUUGGGCGUAAAGCGAGCGCAGGCGGUUUCUUAAGUCUGUUGUGAAAGCCCCCGGCUCAACCGGGUAGGGUCAUUGGAAGCUGGGAGACUUGAGUGCAGAUGAGGAGAGUGGAAUUCCAUGUGUAGCGAUGAUGUGCGUAAAUAUAUGGAGGAACACCAGUGGCGAAGGCGGCUCUCUGGUCUGUAACUGACGCUGAGGCUCGAAAGCGUGGGGAGCAAACAGG